UGUCAGGUUGUAAACAACAAAUAUCACAACUCAGUUUGAUUCCUGGCAUUGGAAAAUGCUGCAAGAACCCAAUGGAUACAACACUUUGCAGGAGCCAGCAUAACAGACACAGCAGGGGUGGAGAGGAUGGAAGCAGCAUCUCUGGAUUGGAUGAGUUCCUUGUGAAAUCAUUGGACAGUAUUUCAGGAAAAGGUGAACAGAGCAUCAGCCUGAAGCAAACAGCAUAUUUAACUGUUCUUCAGUCAGCAAAAUUAGGGACUUGGAGUCUGAAAGGAAGAGGCAAUCCUGAAAAGGUACUGAAGAGGUUUCUAAAGAGAAGAGAUGAUAGAAAAUCAUGAAAGAAGGGAAAGAUGACAGCUGGAGGAAGAGUAACAGAGAUGUCUGGAGUCAAAUGCGGGGGAUGCCCAGGGAUUUUAGCCAUUGGCACCUCAAAUGGAUAACUCUGAGCAGAUGAACAGCAGGAACCAAUACAAUUUUCUGCCUGACAAUGGCAGACCAGCAGUGACCUCCCUACAAAUCAAGACCUAUGAGCAUUGUGCUGUGGAAGAGAGCAAGUGAAACAAUUCAUGAAAUCAUAGAAUAUCUCAGAUUCUCUCUCUCCUCACUGAAGGGCUGGAAUAUCAGAAAAACAGGCCUACAGAGAUUUCUGUGUUACUUCGUCAUAAUAUUGUUUGAAUGGCUGGAACAAACACCUAAGCCAUACUGAGGCACAAGGCUCCCUCUCAUCUAAACAGAAAAUCAAGUAAUUUUGCUCUUCCCACUUUUGUAAAAAAUGGCUGAGCAAGAAAGGCAAAACAGUAUUACUCACAGGAGAUAUUACUUCUGCCAUAAUGUAGGGAAAUCGGUUUUUCUUGUGAAUCUAAUUCAACGAAGGAAAAUGUCAAAAUUUACCUCUGAUUUUGGCAGGCAUUUCUGAAGAGUGACUGUGUGGAAUUGUUCUGUGUUUUCCUCUUUUGAAAAGGUCUCUUCAGCAUUUAACCAAAUGAGGAGAGGAAUCAAAUUUAUUUAUGGAACUCCCAGUGGCUCCUACUUUUUUUUUUUUUUAAAUCAUUAUUGCAUCUUAAAUAUCUGCUGUCUGUAUUAGCCUCUAUCUCUUUCUGUCUCUUAAGAAGCACCUUAUUUGUAAUAAGGUAAGCUCAAGAAUCACUUGAUUUUAAAGAAAAUGAUUAAUAUAUUGAGAUACUUAUUGAUGUAGGAUGUCCAUGUUUAAAUACUUGUACAUCAGCUGAAUCAAUGUGGCUACAGGAAAAUGCCUUAAAGCAUUUAUUCAUUCUGUGCAGUGAAGCACAAAAGGAAAUGGAAUUUUAAUGACAAACUGCUUUAAACAGUAAAUAGAGGAAAUCCAAACUGUCAUUUAAGUAGACCUUCACGUGAAAAAAUACUAUAGUAAUGCAUGGCAAGGCUGCUGCACAAUUCCCAUCUGAUACCCAUAUUUUCUGAGAUGCAGCUGACUUAAUAUGACACUUGACAAAAAACCAGCAAACUAUUUAAAUAAUCAUCUGAGUACUUUCAAGGAAUUUAAGUAGAAGAAAAUAAAUGGAAUAAAACAUGUUCAUAAACUGAAUUGUAUCACAUACUAGUAUUGUAUUUCGUUUCAGUCUGCUUUUUUGGACACUGAAAUUGUAAUCAGACAUUGAAAGUAAAAUGUUGCCUUCAUUGAAUAUGUUAAGUUCAAUAUUGCAGCCAUUUUUCAGGUUUAUUUUCAGGAGAAUUGCAAAAUAAGCAUCUACUUACCACCUGUGCAGUGCACCUACUCUGACAUUUUGGUGUAAGAGUUUAACUUCUAAUUACAUGGGGCAUGCUCAGCUUGGAUGAGAGCACAGCAGAACGAAGCAAGGUGACAUCACAAUCAAUUUUAAUUCUAUGAGUUAAUUAAAGCCUUGAGCUCCCAUGUGCAUGCCAGGCAAGGAACGUGACAGCAAAAUUUGUGAGAGCUGUGCUGGAUCUCUGCUGCAAUCUGGGACACAACAGAGAAAGGGUUUUCAGACAGGGAAGCACAGCAGACACACCAUGUCCUUGUGUCUUUACAGGAACAUUUAGAAAGGGGGUUCAUUACUCAUGAAAGGGGAUCUGUGAGAUUUGGUUUAUGUGAUUAUACUGACAUGAUAUAAACCAGCUGUGAGGAAAUCUGUGUGAACGCAGUAUUUAAGAUCAGGAAAGCUGAUUGGUGUGCAUGCAGCACCUGACAUGGAGACCACAGUAUAUAUCAGAUGUUGUAGCAGAGCAAGUUGCAAGCUGGUUCUAGCUCAGUUUUAUCAUUUUCAAAUCUAUAAUUUUCAUACCUAGACCAGCAAAUUUUCUUUUUUGGAGACCACAGAAUUUUCUUUUUAAGGUUUCUUAAGAUAUUUCUUUCAUCUGUUGUAAAACAUAAAUUUUAUUAAUUUUGACAUGUUUAAUCAGUCACACAGCUCUGACUAAUCAACAUUGGUUGAAUAAUUUUACAUUACUAACCUCUCCAUUAAUUUUCCUGGGUGAUUGCAAGGUACAAUGAAAAAUUUUACAAAGGGCUGCCCUAUUACUAGGUCAGCAUGUUGCCAUAUUCAAAUCCUAUAAAGCUAGGGAACACUCCUUCCAGAGCUUUAGAGCAGUCUCUGUAAUAUUCUAUUUAUAUUCUUACAUAGCUCUUAUCACUGUGGCAUCUGACUACUUCCCAGGCCCCUAUUAUGCGAUACAGCUAACUUAUUUUGUUGGAAUGCUCUUAGAUAAUUUUGCUGCUUGGGAGAAAUAGAAGAAUGUUAUUUUGGGGUUAUUUGAAACUGCCUGUGUUUAUUUUUAGCUGGAGAGGUGCCUCCUGCACAGGGAAAAUGAUGCUUUGAAGCAAUUCUUCAUUCUAUCAAGAGCUUAUUGUGUAACUAACUGCAGACCAUUACAAAACUCAGGGCCUAAAUAAAUACCUGCUCUAUAGACUGGGACUGAAUUUUGCCAUGUCCUGAAACCAAUCCACUAUGAAAGAUUGAACUGUUCAUAGCUGUGGAGAAAUAUUAGGUCUUCACUGACAGAAGCCAUGGAAAUCUUGGGGGAAAAUAAAUUACUGGUCAUGUUCUAAAGAGGUCAGAAGUAAGAACUGGUAGUUGCAGUCACAAUAACAGAUCAUCUCUUUGAGAAAAUUAAGGGAGAAAUAUUAAUAAAUACACACUAAAAAGAGGGUGAACAUGUUUACAUUAUACAGUAGCAGCAAAAAUGUGAAAAAAUUUUCAUAAAGUACACUGGCAAAUUUCCAGAGAUAGUUUUUUUGUUUAAAAGCUAUUCAUAAAGAAUCCAGUUGCAUAUCUCACAUAUCUGUUUUACUCAGACAUUUGAUGGUGUUCUGUCUCAGAAAUUUGACUGAGAAUGCUUCUAUUAAUGAAUAGUUUAUAAGCAACACCCCAAGGUUUAGCAUUGUGUUACUCUUUCCACACAGAUUUCACUCUGGCUGAUGCUUCUGUGGAGUCUAGAAUUCAAUAAUUGUCUCUGUGUCUCUCUGCCAGAUAAAAACUGCAAAAAUUAUGGAACUGUGAUGCUUUUAUGAUGCUCACAGUUAUGACUUCUAAAUGAGGGAAGAAACAGCAGACUUAUGGAAAAUAUUCAUCAAUAAAGAAAGUUUCCAGAAAUAUGA